UUGCCACCACGUGGCACCCCCGCAUGAUUUACUUCCAACUUCAAAUCAACCGGUCGUUUUGUGUCUGGAGAGAGAACUCACAUCAGCUAAUUUUUUUAGAAAACCAGCUUACGUCCAGAAGGAAGCUGUCACUCACGAGCAGAAACGGAAGUGAGUACCCCAACCUCGAGCCCUCCCGGGGCCCGUGGGCUCGCGACACCUGCUUCCUUUGUUCAAAGGGGAUUCGCAAAGGCAAGAGAGGCGCGAGGGCCUCCCUCACGGCACAUCGGAAAGAUCAGAACCGGGGAAACUACGCCCAGAUGACAGACGACCCUCCCGCACGACACAAGAUGGUCUGGAGCGCCCCCACGGAACCGGAAAGCAGAACCCGCUUCGCCGGGCUCAGCCCGCGGCCUCCAGGCACUCACUCUGCCUCUUAACCACCACGGCCUCGGUUUCCCAGUCCGCAAAAUGGGGGCACUCGAUCGACACCCCUCUCGCGACGGCAGCCGGGGGUUCCCACCCAGCACGCGGGCCUGAAAGCCUCUCCAUCCCGUGGGCUGAGGGGCCGGCGGCAGCACAGAGCUGCGUGCGGGCAGGGACGGCCAGCUGGCCGCGGGCGGGACGGAGCACGGACGCUGUGCCGAGGGCUGCCGUUUCCUCGGCGCUCUUCAAUUAUUCAAACAACAGCCGCACCCUUAUUUAAAGUCUAGUCUUGCGUUCGCUGCCGAUAGAUUUACACGGGGACAGGCUCCCUCUCGCAAAGUCGAUUAAUUAAGCAAACACUCCUGCCAGCAGGUUCUCAGGUGCGCACCGGGAGGCCCACGGGUCUCCGCCUGCCGCCUCCGGGACACUCGAGCCGCAGGCACGGCCAGGUGGGGCGCAGCCGGGGCUGGAGAAGGGCGCAAAGGACCGCUCACCGGCACCUGCCGUGUGCCAGGCCCAGGACGGGGCUCGGGCGCCAGACAGGCUCUUCCAGCCCUCGGGGCGGGCCCCUUCCCACCCCAACUACAGACGGGGCAACUGAGGCAUGGGGAGGCUGAGGGACUCACCCAGGGCUGAAGGCCAGAGAGAGGUCACAGACGUUCCUCUGCACCCACACUCUUCUGUUCUCCCCUUCCCGCCACCCACCCAGACAGGAAGUGAGAGGUGCAAACGGGGUCCAGCGUUGACUGGGUACUUCCCACCCUUCUAACUCAGGGUCCGUAGCAGCCCUGCAGGUGAGGACCGCCAUGACCUGUAUUCGACGGAGGGGAAACUGAGGCACGGAAUGGCUGAACGACUCACUCAAGCUCACACCAGUGGUGAGGAAUGGGGUGGGGAUCUGAGCCCGGGCUGCCAGGCGCCGGUCCCCGCUCCCAGAGCUGAGCCUCAGGCUUUCUGGACGUCCACGCCUCAUCGCCUUGCCAGGCCCCGCUCGCGGCCCGCCCCCCUCGCCCAGAGGCACGUGGGUGCUUGCUCUCUCUUUGUCUCUCUCACCUGGCAGAAUGGUGCACCACCCAGGGCGCCCCAGAUUCAGUGCAGCCCAUUGGCAGAGCUUCUGGAAUGUUCCCCCCGCCCCCAUCCAUGUUAGCUAACAUGUAGUAAAAUAAGGGUUUCAGGA